GCUUGCAGCCAUACCUCUGUGUGACAGCCCAAUCCUGUCUGACUUCAGCAGCUAAAUAAGAACGGGUUUGGUUAGUACUUAGACAGGGGACCUCCUUGGAAUAUCAGAUGCUGCAAGCU
rnacentral:rRNA from 1 species